AUUGAACGCUGGCGGCAUGCUUUACACAUGCAAGUCGGACGGCAGCACAGAGAAGCUUGCUUCUUGGGUGGCGAGUGGCGAACGGGUGAGUAAUAUAUCGGAACGUACCGAGUAAUGGGGAUAACUAAUCGAAAGGUUAGCUUAUACCGCAUAAUCUCCGGGGGGGAAAGGAGGGGACCUUCGGGCCUUGGGUUAUUCGAGGGGCCGAUAUCUGAUUAGCUAGUUGGUGGGGUAAAGGCCUACCAAGGCGACGAUCAGUAGCGGGUCUGAGAGGAUGGUCCGCCACACUGGGACUGAGACACGGCCCAGACUCCUACGGGAGGCAGCAGUGGGGAAUUUUGGACAAUGGGCGCAAGCCUGAUCCAGCCAUGCCGCGUGUCUGAAGAAGGCCUUCGGGUUGUAAAGGACUUUUGUCAGGGAAGAAAAGGCUGUUGCUAAUACCGACAGCUGAUGACGGUACCUGAAGAAUAAGCACCGGCUAACUACGUG
rnacentral:rRNA from 1 species